rnacentral:rRNA from 1 species
UACAGAGGGUGCUAGCGUUGUUCGGAAUCAUUGGGCGUAAAGGGCUCGUAGGCGGCCAACUAAGUCAGACGUGAAAUCCCUCGGCUUAACCGGGGAACUGCGUCUGAUACUGGAUGGCUUGAAUCCGGGAGAGGGAUGCGGAAUUCCAGGUGUAGCGGUGAAAUGCGUAGAUAUCUGGAGGAACACCGGUGGCGAAGGCGGCAUCCUGGACCGGCAUUGACGCUGAGGAGCGAAAGCCAGGGGAGCAAACGGG